CCUACGGGAGGCAGCAGUGGGGAAUAUUGCACAAUGGGGGAAACGCUGAUGCAGCGACGCCGCGUGAAGGAAGAAGUAUUUCGGGAUGUAAACUUCUAUCAGCAGGGAAGAAAAUGACAGUACCUGACUAAGAAGCCGCGGCUAACUACGUGCCAGCAGCCGCGGUAAUACGUAGGGGGCAAGCGUUAUGCGGAUUUACUGGGUGUAAAGGGAGCGUAGGCGGUUUAGCAAGUCAGAAGUGAAAGCCCGGGGGUCAAAUCCGGGACUGCCUUUGAAACUGUUGAACUAGAGUGCAGGAAAGGUAAGUGGAAUUCGUAGUGUAGCGGUGAAAUGCGUAGAUAUUACGCGGAACACCAGUGGCGAAGGCGGCUUACUGGACUGUAAAUGACGCUGAGGCUCGAAAGCGUGGGGAGCAAACAGGAUUAGAUACCCGGGUAGUC
rnacentral:rRNA from 1 species